rnacentral:lncRNA from 1 species
CUCAUUUGCUCUAACGGCCUUGUUUCAGUACUGCAAUUGAGUCUUGACAGAGGGAAUCUUCAGGAAAUUAUUCAGCAAUGGCAGUUCUCCAGAAAAUGCAAGCGUGCUCUGCAUCAUUGGGCGGCCAGGAAAUCGGUCUAUUAACCUGUCAAACUCAGUGGAGGUCACAAGGGACACCGAGCAGAGGGACUGGAUUGAGGUGGUUUACUGC